GAUGAACGCUAGCGGCAGGCUUAACACAUGCAAGUCGAGGGGUAUGCCGAUUUAUCGGCAGAGACCGGCGCACGGGUGCGUAACGCGUAUGCAAUCUACCUUUCACAGAGGGAUAGCCCAGAGAAAUUUGGAUUAAUACCUCAUAGUAUAGCAAUUUCGCAUGAAACCACUAUUAAAGUUCCAACGGUGAAAGAUGAGCAUGCGUCCCAUUAGCUAGAUGGUAAGGUAACGGCUUACCAUGGCUACGAUGGUAGGGGUCCUGAGAGGGAGAUCCCCACACUGGUACUGAGACACGGACCAGAC
rnacentral:rRNA from 1 species